rnacentral:rRNA from 1 species
CCUACGGGAGGCAGCAGUGGGGAAUAUUGGGCAAUGGGCGCAAGCCUGACCCAGCAACGCCGCGUGAAGGAAGAAGGCUUUCGGGUUGUAAACUUCUUUUCUCAGGGACGAAGGAAGUGACGGUACCUGAGGAAUAAGCCACGGCUAACUACGUGCCAGCAGCCGCGGUAAUACGUAGGUGGCAAGCGUUAUCCGGAUUUACUGGGGGUAAAGGGCGUGUAGGCGGGAAAGCAAGUCAGAUGUGAAAACCAUGGGCUCAACCUGUGGCCUGCAUUUGAAACUGGUUUUCUUGAGUACUGGAGAGGCAGACGGAAUUCCUGGUGUAGCGGUGAAAUGCGUAGAGAUGAGGAGGAACACCAGUGGCGAAGGCGGUCUGCUGGACAGCAACUGACGCUGAGGUGCGAAAGCGUGGGGAGCAAACAGGAUUAGAUACCCCAGUAGUC